rnacentral:rRNA from 1 species
GCUGUUCUCCCUGAGCUCGCCGCCCCGGCCCCGCUCGGCCCCUCCUCC